CGCGCGCCCGCCGGCAAAGGCGCGCGAGGUUCGAAGGCGGCGCUGGGCGCGCGCGCGCCGGCCCCGGUCCGGGAUGGCGGAGACCUUGAAUCGUUUAAAAAGAGACUACAGAGCAAGAUUCUGCCAUGGAGGAGGAAAUAAGAUUGAUCUACGGCCAGGUCAAAACGUACUGAAACUCAUACAGGAUUGUUUUGAAAGUUGCAGCAGUGAUCUUGCAAGAAACUCUCCAAAUUGCUCAACCUUUCUUUUGGAUAAUGAGAAGAGGACUUCAAUCCAGAGACAAAGGCUAAGUUCUCACAAGGCAGGGUCAGCCAGCUCUGUGAAAGGAGCCUGUGAGUCUGCAGAACCCUCACCUGCACCACUGCUAAAACCAGUCAGCAGCAGAGGACAGUCAUGUGAAUCACACUUGAAGCCUGCAACACCUGAUUAUGUAGCUACUUCUGAAAAGACAGAGUCUCCUGUGUCUAAAAGUGAAAAAAAAGAUACUUUAAAAGAUGUUGAAGCACCGUUCCAGCAUCCAGCCGUGCCAUUGGACCCUGAGAGUGAUCGUGGGUCUGUUGGAUCACCUUUGCCUGUGGAGGAAGCGAAAAGUUCUCCUGUAGUUAAAUUUCAUUUUGAUAACUGGAGUACGCCAGCUGCAGCAAAGAGCCAUGGAGAAGUGGAAAAUUUGGAAGGAGCUCAGCCUGGGGGAGAUGAGCAGGUUGUUCCUGUGCAAGGAACAGAACGUGUUACUGCAUCAUCUGCCCGGACAGAGAAGACUUUCUCUUCAGCUGUCUUAGCAGCUGUAGCAACAAGAACACUUGUACAGAGAUAUUCAACUUCCAUAUCACCACCAUCACCUUGUCCUGUGAAAUAUCAAGAAAUAGAAGAUGAAUGUGAAUUUUUAAUUGAUGAGUCAGGUGAUGCAUCUUUUACUUCUUGGUUUUCAAUACCUACUAAGAAAAAAAAAUCAAAAAAUGAUGGCUCUGCAGCUCCCAUUUCUAAACCUCAGCCCUCUGAAAAGGAAAAGACACGGAAUAAGAAAGUCAAGAACAGAAAAGAACAGGUUAAAGCACUUAGUAAACAGGAAGAGGAUCAUCUGGAUGUUGGAGCUUUUGACUUCAAAGAAACGUCAGUGUCAGAUCCAAUCUCUAAUAGUGAAGAAAGUGUCCUUAAAUCUCAAAGUCGAAAGAGUUCUUGUGUGGGAAAGACUAAAAAGGAUGCACUUAGACAAGACUCUCCAAACCAGAAAAAGAACACAUCAUGGAAACCAGAAGCUGAAGAACUGAUAUUGUCAUGGGCUGGAUUGGAAGCGGAACCAUCUGAUGAGGAGCAGUGUGAAACAAGGAUGCCAAGUGAGGAUUUGCCUAUGCCCUCAUCUGGGCAUCAGAAAGAGCAGACUGUGUCACUGAAGAAGUCUCUCAGGUCUGCCAAGAAUCUGCGGUUGGCUUCUAAAGCUUCUAAACAUUUAGUUAAGAAGAAACAAACUGCUAAUCAGAAACUUCCAAAUGUCAAAGUAGCUAAGAGAGGGACAGUAACUCCAAGGAAAAAGCUUAAAAUAUCUGUCCAGAAAAGUAGUAAUAAAAAACCUCAGUUACAAAAAGAGGAGAGUUCUGACAGUGAAUCUGGUGAAGAAGAGCUUGAAAGGGAGCCUUUGGAACAGAAUGAAGUGUGUACCACAUCUUUGCAUGAGAAGGACACUCCUGUGAUUCAGAAGUUGUCUAACGCUGAAAAGCCUAGAAAUGUGUUACACACACCAGAGUCACCUGGUGGUGCCAAGAACAGAACUCCUCUAAAAGCACUCCAGCAUCCUGUGGAGAGUGUGAAGAAUCAUGGAAAGAAAUGGUCUGCCAAGUCUUUAGGGAAGAUAACCAAAAAGACUCCACACAGAACCAAUAAAGCUCUUUGCUCAAGCCCUGAAAGCCCUGAGUCUCAAACAGAUUCUGACAGCUCUUCUGUACAGGACGUGGCAAGGAAAAAAGAGAUGUUACCAGAUGUGAAAAUAAAAAGUAACAAAAGAAAACAUAACAGGGAUUCCUUUGAGAAGGUUGAGAAUUGCGCAAGUGGGCCUGUUCUAGAAGAUAGACUUACUUCCAGCACUAAAUCUCCUGAGCUGGACGAUGUAUCUUCAGAUAAUUCUGAAGACUUGAAUUGCAAAUUAAGACACCUGUUGUCAGAUGAAACAGCAAAGCAUAAAAUAGUUAUGCCUUCCAACACACCUAAUGUUCGUCGGACAAAAAGGAUACGGAUGAAACCUCUGGAAUACUGGAGAGGCGAGCGCACAAACUAUUCUAUGGAGCCUUCAGGAGGGCUUGUGAUGAGUGGACUAGUGCAUCCAGUAACAGAAUCUCCUAGGAAGAGUAAAAGGAGGAAGGAUUGUCCGAAGCAGAAAACAGAUAAAACAAAUAGAGAAGAGAUACCUGUAAAUUUGGACCACAGCCUAGGUGAUGCAUCUAAGCCAGCCGUUGUACUGGACCCAGUAACAAAUAAUGAAGUGCAUCUAGAUUGUAUAAACACUGCAGACAGUCGCACUUACUUCUUCAAAGAUGAAGCAGUAGAAAUACAAAAAAGUUUGAAUACAUCUCUUUUUGCAACUGGUAGAUUGAUUCUGAAGCCAUAUAAAGAAAAGGGGCACCAAUUUGUCGACAUGGAUACAAUAGCUUUCCAUAUUAUCCAUGGCAAAGUUAUAGUGACAUUACAUAACACAUCGUAUUACCUGACUGCAGGGGACUGCUUCUAUGUUCCAGCAGGAAAUGGAUAUAACAUACGUAAUCUUCUGAAUGAAGAAAGUGUUCUUCUCUUCACACAACUCAAAGACAGAACAAGAUCAAGAAAUGUGGUUUUGGACACCUCUUCCCCAUAACUUUACCUGCAAAUUGAAGAUCAUCUAAUGCAGAGGAGUUCUAAAGAACAUUGAACAUUUUCAUCGGACACCCCAGUUUUAGGGGCAUGUUGUUUCAUUGAUCUUAAAGAUCUUUCUUCAGUGUAAAUGUUCCCAAGGGCCAAGCGUCUGCAGAGGAUAACAGACACAUUCUGAGAGCUGGGAGCAGGACCGUGCCUCUGCUGAAGGCCAGCCAGGCAGCCCGUUCCACGUGGAGGGUGGAGG